CCCAGAAAGACGUUUCUGAGAUGCCGCGCUGCCAUCGACUUCUAAAGGAGUUAAUAUUUUUUUUUAUUUUUAUUUUUUUAUAUGAAAUGGUGAGCGGUCUCCUUCCAUCAUCCGAUACGCGAUCUGCUGGGGGAUUUACAAAUCGCCGCAUUUUGUUAUUUACAUUGUAUCCUCGCCCCAACUUUUUUGGAAUUGGGGUUGUAUUUUAGUGGUUACCGUGACUUAAAAAAACUAAAACUGGUCUGCAGUCUUCAUCCCUUCAUUCAUUUGGCCUCAUCAAGGGCACCAUGGAGUUUUUUUUUAUUCAUGUAAAUAAGUUACGUUUUAGUUUAGAUUCCAAGGCUCUGGAUCCAUUGAAAAUGUGUUACUGAAGUCUCUCAUGACCCCAGAUCCGGGGGAUACGUCCCUGCUGCCUUUUUCUUCAUAUUAUGGGAGCGUCUGGAUUACGCAAAUUUAGGGCGAGAAUUUAUUUUAGUUUUUUCUUUGUAAAAUGUUGCUAACGAUGUGUUUUGUGUCUGCCGCAGCGACCCUUUACACCUCGUGCAUCCUGAUCGGAGUCUUUCUCAACAGCACGGUGCCAAUAUUCUUCGAGAUGUUUGUGGAGACCGUUUACCCCGUCCCGGAGGGCAUCACCUGUGGCUUUGUCACCUUCUUGAGUAAUAUCUUCACUGGACUCUUGUUGGUGUUUUUAACUUUUUAUAACACAGAGUUGUCGUGGCUGAACUGGUGCCUGACGGGAUCUAGCUUUCUCAGCCUGCUCUUACUUGUGUGCUUCAGGGAAUCCUAUGAUAGACUCUAUCUCGAUGUCUUUAUAUCCGUGUAAUAGCCCCAAACGGGCUGAACACUCCGCUCACGGCACAAUUGUCUGGAAUUGCACAAUAGACUGGAGGAAGACGAGCGACACGAGGCCGCUGGGCUGAUAUUAACUACUAAAUAAAAAGUCCCACGUGUGUAUUUUACUCUGUGGUCCCCGGGACGGAGGAGCAUCAAUUACCAGGGAAGUCUGCUGCUCUCGCCCCCGCUGCGGGAGUCGUUAUUGGAGGUGGAGGAUCUUAAUGUUUUAAUGAUGAAUAGGUUGCAAUAUGUCGAGUCUGACCACACGGCUUAUCAUAUGAAAGGUUGGUAAUCUGCGGGGAGGUGGGCAGCGAAUGGCGGAUAAUCUCAUUCUGAAUGUCGUCUGUACAAGAGGGCCCAACAUUCUCCCCGAGAAGAGGACUGACUGACACCUGUGCGCCGGUGUCCUGCAUGGGCCCCCCCAGGAGAUUGAAUCCACUACUACAGCCUUGUUAACCAGGAUAUGGCCGCCGGACCGUCCAGUGAAGACCGCCACGAUGGGAUGUAGUGCUGCUGUAGUAGUUGUCAGUUUGGUUGCAGAUCUUUAAUUGUACAAUGAUUCCGGUUGUCCCUGAACGUUCACAUCGCUUUUCCUAAAAUGCCUUCUAAAAUGUAUGUCAUUGGCUAAUUUUACCUUCCGGCCAGUCUUCCUCCAAAUGCACACUUUCCAGUGUUGCGGCGUACAGGUUCCAGUCUCUUUAGAGUACGUGGAGGAGGCGCCAGGAGGGCUCCGUACUGGUGUAAGCGUGCCGCUGCGCUGAAAGCUCUGCGGAGACAUCAGUCCAGGAGGAACAGCGAGUCAGUCUACAACGCUCACAAGUAACUGGCACCGUCUCCACGUCCUCCGAGAGACUGACCUCCAUACAGCUGGAUACCGGCUGCAGCUUCAGGAGGCCUAUUGUGGCAGCAUGAAGGUAAAAUCCAUUAACAAAGAUGAUUUUUAGGGCAUUUGGAAAAGUGGAGCUGUCUCCUCUCCUGACGUCUGUUCUAGUAACUGAUUGCACCCCCAUGUAAUAGUUCUGAUAGCAAUUCACCGAGGAAUGGCUCAACAUAGUCGUAGGAAUAGGUACUCCAGAAUUAUUACACGAGGGAUGCAAGUACUUACUAAAACAGACCUGUCAGGACUGGGGAUCACUAUACACUUCAUUAGACAAUGAGCUAUAUCUGCCGCCUAUAGAGGGGCGCGGGCUUCCUGUCCUGAGCGAUUACAGUAUAUGACUAGCCUGGCGUUAUCUGUAUGGGGUAAAGAUUUCAACAUUGUUUAUUCGUUCUGCAGCUCCUCCAUAUUUUUUUAAAAUCUGGAUGACUAGUCUUGGUAGGACGGACUUUGCACAGCAGUCUGGGGGUUAAAGUUGUGUGUUGAUGACCUAUUCUCAGGAUGGGUCACCGGUAUCCGAUCGGAGAGCGCCGUGGCCUAUCCGUUGGGUAGUGGCUGUGUCUGCUAUUGCAGCUGAGGCCCAUUCACUUCACUGAGACCUGUACCUUGGCCAUGUGACUGAUGUCGGGUCGGACCCCCACCGAUCUGAUAUUGGUGACCUGUCCUGAGGAUAGGCCGACACUAUAGCAGAAAACGCCUUUAAUGAGCUGAGAGCCCUGCAACGUUUGAGGAUCUGUCCGUGAAACGUCUGAUGGAAUAUACUGUAUAUGCAGAGGGAUUUAUCCACUGGCUUUUCUGACUUGAUUACCAGCAGAGGGCUUUUAUUAAAUCUCCUUUAGUCUCGGCCAUACUGGAGGAGACUGAUGAACUGGAUCACUGACCACAAAGCCCAGCAGCUGACACUUGUCCUGAUGGAGUGUGGGAUCUCAGCUCUUCCCCGUCACGUCUGGUGUUGUGCUGUGAGAUCAUCACCUAGAAAUGUCACCGUGUAAAGACCGCAGCGAUCGGUUCUCGGGGUCUCUUGUCACAGAUGUUUUUUCCUGGGUUAUAUCUGGAGGCGGCUGUAGGACGGUCUCAUGUAAUCAUGGCCGUCUGCUGAAUUACAAUCUGAGCCUACAGCAGUAAUGAGCUCCAUGCUCUGCCUCCGUGGGAAUCCACUGUGGGUUCGAGGAACUGACUGCGCGGCGCCUCUGAUGGGAUGUGACACCAAGACGUUAGAGGUUCCAUUCACUGUAGAACACAUAAAGGGGGGGACAUGGAGUAAAAUAUGGGGAGAUAUUAGGACAGCUUGCCCCAAAGUAUUUUUGAUGGAAAUGUUGGGGAACACUUUACUGGUAUAUUGCACUUCAUGGGACGCCAGUGUCUGAGAAUCGGAAGACUCCCUUUAACUGAUGGCGGAUGUGUGAUGUCCCCCUAAAUAUCCUCUUAAAGGAUGCCUCUUCAUUUUCUAGAAGGCCUCUAUUGAAGCCCAUACUCGCUAUGACCUCUAGAGUGGUGGUGGUCGUGCGCCGCUCAGGAAGAGGUCCUGGAGACACUCGGCAGACGGCCUAGUCAUUGGGAAAGGUUGGAUUUGGGAUAUGGCGGGAAGUUGCACUUUCCAGUGAGAUUUCUGUGACCUCAGAUCUUCAGGAUAAGGUGGAGCCGUGGCUCCACGUGGCAUUAUGUUUGUCGUGUACUCAUGCUGCUAAUAUUCCGGAGAGCGAAGCGCUAAGGUUCCGGUGUCUCUCCUUCUCUCAUCGAUAACCUGGUGUGACUGUUCUCUAAUCUCUGUAUAUGACGGCGGUUGUUCUUUGUCUGAUGCUCUGUUAACCUGUUCACUGCUAGGAUUGUCAGGUAACCCGAUUUUAUAAGGAUUUUUUUUAGUUUAUGGUGAAAUAAAAAACCUUUUAAAAACC